rnacentral:lncRNA from 1 species
AUGGAGCUUACAUUCAAUGAGGCAACAGAUAUGUUAGAACGGUUAACUAAGAUGAGAAAAUCUUGGCACACCAGGGAUUCUGUAGUGGCAUGACAUACUAUGUUUAGUGGUUAUCGGUGGAGAAACAUCGAAAAGAGGAGGAGUAUGACCAAGAUAUGGCACACAUGAAAAAAUAGAUAGGUCUACUUGGUAUACACUUAUUGUUUGGGAAGACUGAGAAGAUAAAGUUGUGGGGUAGCAAAGAAGAGUUGAUUCUAAUUUUAAAGAGGAGGUAAACCAUCUAAAAAACAGGGGUUUUCUGAGGUAAUAGCCAAGGGAACCAAGGUUGAAACUAUUACGAC